GACGAACGCUGGCGGCGUGCUUAGCACAUGCAAGUCGAACGGAAAGGCCCUGCUUUUGUGGGGUGCUCGAGUGGCGAACGGGUGAGUAACACGUGAGUAACCUGCCCUUGACUUUGGGAUAACUUCAGGAAACUGGGGCUAAUACCGGAUAGGAGCUCCUGCUGCAUGGUGGGGGUUGGAAAGUUUCGGCGGUUGGGGAUGGACUCGCGGCUUAUCAGCUUGUUGGUGGGGUAGUGGCUUACCAAGGCUUUGACGGGUAGCCGGCCUGAGAGGGUGACCGGCCGCAUUGGGACUGAGAUACGGCCCAGACUCCUACGGGAGGCAGCAGUGGGGAAUAUUGCACAAUGGGCGGAAGCCUGAUGCAGCAACGCCGCGUGCGGGAUGACGGCCUUCGGGUUGUAAACCGCUUUCGCCUGUGACGAAGCGUGAGUGACGGUAAUGGGUAAAGAAGCACCGGCUAACUACGUG
rnacentral:rRNA from 1 species